AACGAACGCUGGCGGCGUGCCUAACACAUGCAAGUCGAACGAGAAAGGGGCUUCGGCCCUGAGUAAAGUGGCGCACGGGUGAGUAACACGUGGGCAACCUGCCUCUAAGAUCGGGAUAACCCGUCGAAAGAUGGGCUAAUACCGGAUAAGACCACGGCGCCUCCGGGCGCAGAGGUCAAAGGUAGCCUCUGCAUGCAAGCUAUCACUUAGAGAUGGGCCUGCGCACCAUUAGCUAGUUGGUAGGGUAACGGCCUACCAAGGCAAAGAUGGUUAGCUGGUCUGAGAGGAUGAUCAGCCACACUGGAACUGAGACACGGUCCAGACUCCUACGGGAGGCAGCAGUGGGGAAUAUUGCGCAAUGGGCGAAAGCCUGACGCAGCAACGCCGCGUGAGUGAUGAAGGCCUUCGGGUCGUAAAGCUCUGUCGGAGGGAACGAAUGCCCCCAAGGCUAACAGCCUUGGGAAGUGACGGUACCCUCAAAGGAAGCACCGGCUAA
rnacentral:rRNA from 1 species